rnacentral:rRNA from 1 species
GACAGAGGGUGCAAACGUUGCUCGGAAUUACUGGGCGUAAAGCGCGUGUAGGCUGACCGGAAAGUCGGGCGUGAAAGCCCUGGGCUCAACCCAGGAACUGCACUCGAAACUCCCGGUCUAGAGUGGUGGAGAGGGAAGUGGAAUUCCUGGUGUAGAGGUGAAAUUCGUAGAUAUCAGGAGGAACACCAGUGGCGAAGGCGGCUUCCUGGACACCAACUGACGCUGAGACGCGAAAGCUGGGGGAGCAAACGGG